UAGGAGAGAGAAAGGGAGACUUCCUAGUGUAUUAAGUUUCCUAGGAAGUCUCCCUUUCUCUCUCCUU
rnacentral:miRNA from 1 species